AUGGAAACCAGAGAGGCCAGCUCUGAAACAAAUGGCAGGAAACUGAAGAAAAGGCUUCAAGGCCUCAGCACACCUCCUUGUAGCCUGCGAAUGGAAAGCACACUGUGCAGGUACCAGGAGUGACUUGCUGUUCAUCCUUCUAGGAAGCAUCAUCACAGCAAACUCAUGACUGAGUAAACUAAAAUGUGGAGAAGAAUGAUGAUCAAGGAGGCCUUCAUGAAAGACAGGCUUUUGACUUUGGACUCUGCAGUCAUCAAAGCUAUAACACCCUAGGGUCUUACCAUCCGCUUCUGGUGUGCAACCAAGAGCAGUGGCGAAUCCUCUGGUGCCUCCAUGACCAAGGUCGCUUUUGAUGGGAAGAGUACAUGUCAACUCAACAGAUGACUUUUCUGUUUACUCUGCAGCUGAAUACAGAUAGACAUCUGAGAGGUAAGAAAUAUAAGGAAAAAAAACUGAGAAGUCCCCUUUCUCUCCCUGUUUUACCUCCUGCACCGUCUCUUCUCCUGGGACUCUAUUGUGGGCAGUAGAAUUAGUUAGUUUCCAUUUACCUCCUCAGCCAAGUGGUUGCCGUGCUGGAGUGGCUCCUUUUAGGCAUCUGUUUCUCAAUCAGUCACGGACAUGGCAGUGCUGGUGAAUAAAGCACACGGCAAUGAACUCACUAAGCAUCAGCCUUUGGUACAUAUGCCAUGUACGGUGUGGGCCGAGGGUGGACUAGGUAUGGCCGUUCUUUUCAUCUGAGCAGUAGGUGUAGAACAAGGACACACACUCUGCUGAGUCUUAGCUAGGUGACAGGCACCUUGGACUCUCACAACCUUGUCUAUUUUUGAGAUAUAUGCGUAAGUUUAGAAAGGUUACAGGAACUUUAACAAAGAAGACAAAAUUAGCAAAGGAAAGAGUCAAAUCUGAAGACAUCUGACACCAAGAGUCCUGCUGAGACCAACUUAAACACUCAGUGAUUUUAGAAUUCUUUCCAAAAUCUCUAGCAAAUAAAAAUGCCCAGAUUUUAAUGGUAUGUUUUGCCUGGAGCAUUAUGGUUUAGAUGCUCAGCUUUCCUUGUUUGUGUGUGGUGUACAUAUGUGUUCAUGAGGGUGCCCAUGCACGUGUAUGAGUGUAUGUGUAGAGUCUGGAGGCCAACAUGGGAUGUCUUCCUUGAUCACUCUCCCACUUUACUUUGUGAGACAGGGUUUUUCACUAAACCUGACGCUCUUUGACUGGGUAGCCACUGAGAUCCAGGGAUGGGCCUGUCUCCACUUUCCCAGAACUGAGAUUAUAGGUAUGUGCUGCCAUGCCCGGCUUUUAUGUGGGUGCCGAUGAUCUGAGCUCAGGUCCUAGGCUUGUUUGGCAGGCACUUUACCAGCUGAGCCUGGGAACAUGUUCCCAGGCUCAGCUUUAUCUUCUUAGGGAGAACUAGUCCAAUUUGAGAAAAAUUAUACUUGAAGUUAUUUAAAAACAAACUCAAUUGCUGGACAAUUGUCCGGCAGUCACAAAACCCUUUCUCACUUUGUAUUGAAUGAACUUUUAUUUCCUAGUGUAAGGUGAAGGGGAGGUGGGAAGUUCAAAUUGAGGAGGCAGAUGAGCUAUGAAAACAAGUGGAUUUCCCUCUGAUGUCUAAUCCACUGAUUAUGUCCAGCGAAGUUGGUUCAUGCUUGUAAUUCAGUUUUUAGUUAUUUGCAUUGAGAAAUUCUGUUGGUGAAUUUGUGAACAGGAGAAGGGAGGGGGUAAUACAAACUGUUACUGAAUGGGAGGCAUAUGAGUGGUAGUUCUGUUUACAAGGGGCAGAUGCUCAAGAUGUUGGACUUGUUGGACCGCUCAGUUCAGCCAACGCAGCAGUAGCAGUCAUGACUAACAUGGAAGCUGAUGAUAUGAAGGACAUCGGCGUGGCAAGAUGUUUGACAUUAUGUAUAAGAACUAUUCUGUGUUUGCCAACAGGAUCAGGAAGUCUCUUCUACUGAGUUUAAAGAAUGCUGACCUUCAGAUGGUCUCCAGUAAUAGAAAUCUCAGGAAAGGGAUAAACUCAUUCCGUUGUGUCAAUAUACACACAUUUUGUUUAUAUAGCCAUCUGUUGAUAGACAUUUAGAAUGACUGCACUCUUUUGCUAUUAUGAGGGAUGCUAUGUAAAUGUUCGUGUACAAGUCUUUGUGUCCUCUGUGAAACUUUUCAUGGGGAGGCAUGAACAAACAUCCACUUACCAUAAAUAGGGUACCUGACAGCAGACUGCAGAAAUGAUUGCAUCAAAGUCCAACUUGGUGAACCGAUGACAUGUUUGGCGUAAGUUUCAGGAGCAUGGGUGACUCAAAGGCAGCUGCAUCACUGAAAGCCCACCCUAGCAUGAGUGACAGCUCAUAGAAGCUGCUUCCUUAGAGCUCUCGACACAAUAUGCAAGCAGCUCAAUGGGUUGCAGCCUCCUUUCCUCAGCAGUACUAGCUGUUUAUAUGACCUGAGGAAAGAGGGGCAUUUUAGAUCCUGUAACUUUCAUGGAAUGCCUGAGACUUCUGAAUUGUUUACUUUCUGAAUUUUAAGGAUCCUUGUUCCAGGGUGGAAGAAUAUUUCAGUUCAGAGGAAACUGUUAAACAACAAAACUAGAAUCAUUACUCUCCUGUGCACAGCCUUUAUUUACUUUACUAGCAAGGCUAAUUCUGGUCCAAUAAGCACUCAUCGCAAUUAAGGUUUUCUUAUUUGUAAAUUUCAAUUGUUUUUCUGUAAACAUAUUGCUUCAGUGUAUUUACAUAUUUAUUUGCAAAAACAAGAGCAUGACUAUUAAAGCUACACAAGAGAACAUGAAUUCAAUUAUAAUGAAACUUGUGGUCUAUGUUAUACUGUGA